AUGCUUGUCUAGUUUGUUUAUGCUCGGGCAGGGUAAAUCGCUUUCUUGACUCCAGCAGAACGGUGCACACAGACAGGAGUGCUGUGAUUUUCUGAGCACACACUGAACCGUGUUUUUGGAUGAUGCAGUUCAAGCAGAAGAUCAUCUCUUUCACUGUAAAUGAAAAGUUCAAUAUCCAGUCUGAAGGUCUGACCGGGGAUCAUAUCACCUCCUUACAGCUACUGGUUCAUCAUGUUAUUAUGUGAAAACCAACAUGGCUUUUGGAUUAAAAUGAAGUCAAACUUGUUUGUAUGAACUGAAGCAUCCCAUAAACUGUGUAUAUAAAUAUUUGUACUUUUGUUAUACAUUGGUAAUGUGAUGUUAAUGUAUGUUAAUUUUUAAUUAACACUGAUACAUUGAGGACAAAUCUUCUGUCAUAAAUGUUGAUCAGAUGACAUUUUAAGAAAAUCCAUAUCAGUUUUAUGAUGAGAAUGAUUCUGCUGUAUUGUUACAUUUUAAAAAACUUUUUGAAAAUAAAGAUUUUUGUCCCAAAAGUACCGUAAUAUG